GUGCUCGCUUCGGCAGCACAUAUACUAAAAUUGGAACGAUAGAGAAGAUUAGCAUGGCCCCUGCUAAUUUAAGGAUGACACGCAAAACUGUUCCAUAAAAAAUAGUAGA